CCUACCCAUAGAAGUGUAACGAGAGUGGCUGCUGUGUCACAUGUGCAUCAGUAGGUGGCAGAGAGGAGAAAGACUAUGUCUAAGUUCGGUGUUCUGACCUAUGAACAUUUGAAUCAUCAGGAGCCUAACAUU